CGCCUGGUAACCUCAGACUUUGGGACGACAGCCAUUCUGUUGGGUGUGUUGUGGCCUGCCUGCCAUUUCCCUGUCUUCUGACUUCCAUAGUAUCUGUCAUGAAGCCCACAGUCGUCAUUCUCACCUUUGCACCUCAGCAUGGAAUGGGUCUUUUCUCUCCAGCUACUUUUAAAAUGUUUUCUUUACCACCCGUUUUCAGCAAUUUGAUUGUGGUAGGCCUUCAGUGGGGCUCCCUGUUUCGGGAAUAGAGAGAAGAGUGAUGGCUGCAGCUGGAGAACCCUCCAAAUGUCCUCUGCAGAGAGA
rnacentral:lncRNA from 1 species